CAUCUGAGUCUUCAUCACGUUUGUAAAACGUUGAAACUGCCCAUGAUAAAGUGAACACGUGGGACACGUAGCCACCAAAACUUGAUGGAAGCUUUGGCUAUAAAUAGAACGGUUUGGUCCCCAAACUCACUCAACUCAAUCACUUCAGUCUUACACCAUCUAAAUAGAGUGAGUAUAGCUUGGAAGUGCCAAAACAAACUUGAUGGAAGUUUUGGUUAUAAAUAGUACGGUUUGGUCCCCAAACUCAGUCAACUCAAUCCCUUCAUUCUUACACCAUCUAAAUAGAGUGAGUAGAGCUUGAAAGUGCCACACACAAAGAGAGAGAGAGAGAGAGAGAGAGAGAGAGAGAGAGAGAGAGAGUGUGUGAGAGAGAGAGAGAGAGUGUGUGUGUGUGAAUAAGCAUCAAUGGCUGAAGGUAUGAUUCCUUGUAUAUUUUCAGUUUUGAUUCUUAAUAAGUGUUUAAUUCCAUAUUAUAGAAUCAUUAUUAAGCUUACAUUCUUUGCUUUCGUUUCCAUGGGUGCCUUAAGGCUUGAUUAUUGGAAUGGCAAAACCUACAAAGUUCUCUCUUGGCCUUUCCGGUGUUAUUAAGGGUGCUUUUCUUUCUUUCAUUUCCAUGGGUGCCUUAAAAGUUUGAUUACUGGAAUGACGAAACCCACCAAGUUCUCUCUAAAAAAAUAUUUGUCACUUGAUUUUUUUUUUCAUUAAAUUUUGACACGUCCUUGAUUACUUUUUUAUUUCUUUUAUUUUUUUUUUUUUUCUCAUUAAACUGUGCCACAUCCCCCGAAUAUAUCUCGUUUGCACAGCAACAACUGUACCCAACAAAACUGAGUUCCCAUAUUUUUGGAAAUCAGGUGUUCAAAUAGAGAGAUCAAGAUGUGAUUUAUAAUGGAGUUUGCGGAGAAUUUGGUUUUAAAGUUGAUGGACGACCAGGAGAGGGAUAGGAAGUUCAGGGAGCACUUGUAUGCAGUGAAGGAUCGGUGCAACAUGACCAAGGAGAUGUGGACCUAUCCUCUCCCGCCUUACGGGUUCUGGACCUUUGAGCGCCACAAUGCUCAACUGAGACCCACUGGAAAGACAACACAGACAUCAUGUGUGCAAUGAACACAAAGUUGAACUUAUUUCAUAUAAACUGUAGCAUCGGUUAUUCAUUACUUUUUGUUUCACUAAUGAAAAAAAUUUAAUUGCAAGUACAAUUAUACACUAAUAUUAAACAAACUUUUCUGUGAUUGGUCACUAA